GAAUAGCUCAGUUGGUUUGAGUGUAGUUCUGAUAAUGCCAAUGUCGCAGGUUCAAUCCCCGUAUGGGUCAGCU